UACAGAGGGUGCGAGCGUUGUUCGGAAUUAUUGGGCGUAAAGCGCUUGUAGGCGGCACGUCAAGUCGCGUGUGAAAUCCCCAGGCUUAACCUGGGAAGUGCGCGCGAAACUGACGAGCUUGAGUGCCGGAGAGGGUCGCGGAAUUCCCGGUGUAGAGGUGAAAUUCGUAGAUAUCGGGAGGAACACCCGUGGCGAAGGCGGCUCUCUGGGACGGUACUGACACUGAGACGCGAAAGCGUGGGGAGCGAACAGG
rnacentral:rRNA from 1 species